rnacentral:tRNA from 1 species
GAUUCCGUAGCUCAGUUGGUAGAGCAUAACACUUUUAAUGUUAGGGCCCUCGGUUCGAGUCCCAGCGGGAUCA